rnacentral:rRNA from 1 species
CCUACGGGGGGCAGCAGUGGGGAAUAUUGGACAAUGGGGGCAACCCUGAUCCAGCCAUGCCGCGUGUGUGAAGAAGGCCCUCGGGUUGUAAAGCACUUUCAGUGAGGAAGAACGCCUGGUGGUUAAUACCCAUCAGGAAAGACAUCACUCACAGAAGAAGCACCGGCUAACUCCGUGCCAGCAGCCGCGGUAAUACGGAGGGUGCGAGCGUUAAUCGGAAUUACUGGGCGUAAAGCGCGCGUAGGUGGCUUGAUAAGCCGGUUGUGAAAGCCCCGGGCUCAACCUGGGAACGGCAUCCGGAACUGUCAAGCUAGAGUGCAGGAGAGGAAGGUAGAAUUCCCGGUGUAGCGGUGAAAUGCGUAGAGAUCGGGAGGAAUACCAGUGGCGAAGGCGGCCUUCUGGAAUGACACUGACACUGAGGUGCGAAAGCGUGGGUAGCAAACAGGAUUAGAUACCCGAGUAGUC